GUUCACAUCCAAUGCUUAGAACAAAAAUACUAUAUUUUGCUUUAGAAAUAACAUUAUUUGAUUUUUUUGUAGUUUCAUUAAAUUGAUUCACAACUAAUGCUUUGAAGUUAUACUAUUGAAGUGAAGGAAAAUCUAUAUUUUUUGAAUUAAAGAGAGCUUAAAGGAAGAAUAAUGUUUUGGAAAAGGUAAUUAGAUUAAUUUCAAUUAUCACUAAAAAUUGGGAAGUCAACAUAUUAAUAAAUAUUAUUAUUUAUAUUUUGUGGAUUCUAAAAUCUUAAUAAUUUUAUAAAUAACUAUUAAAAACAAAUCUUUUUAGUUUAUUUAUUUUAAUUUUUUUUAGUAUUUUCUUUCUUUAUUUUAAAACAAAACACAUUAAUCUUUGGAACUAGGUUAGAAAUUUAUUUCACUUUGGUAAAAAUAGUUUUCUCUUUUGAUUUAAGUCAACUCCUUUGGGUUCGACCUCGUGCUUACACGAAAACUAUUUUAUAAAUACGAUUCGUGCGCUUGCGAGUAUAAAUAUUUAAACAUACCCGUUUUGGGUCCAUCAAGUUUUUGGCGCCGUUGCCGGGGAGUUGCAAAUAAGAGAAACAAUUUGUGUCAAGGUGUAUUUGUUGGAGCAAAUGAAAUGUUGAUAAAAUGUUGGUAUAAAGAAAUGAAAAAAGCAAGCCCAAAAUGAAAGGCCCAAUCCAAUUCUUGACAAUGCCAUGUCAUCAAUCCAUGUGCUUCUUUCUCCACCAUUGGAUUUGUAACUAUAGGAAAAGAUGACAAUUUUGAGCAUGAAUCCAUGUGCUUUUUUUUAGACCAAUAGGAGUGUUAUCCUUUACCAAAGAAUUUAUCUAUAAAUAGGAGUCUCAUUUCACCA